UACGUAGGGUCCGAGCGUUAUCCGGAAUUAUUGGGCGUAAAGGGCUCGUAGGCGGUUUGUUGCGUCGGGAGUGAAACCCAGGGCUUAACUCUGGGCUUGCUUCCGAUACGGGCAGACUUGAGGUAUUCAGGGGAGAACGGAAUUCCUGGUGUAGCGGUGAAAUGCGCAGAUAUCGGGAGGAACACCGGUGGCGAAGGCGGGUUCUCUGG
rnacentral:rRNA from 1 species